rfam:Haemonchus contortus, ISE/inbred ISE, WGS project CAVP01000000 data, contig: Hcontortus_32114
GACACAAACUUGAUGUAGAAUAGUUGGGUAUGGUCAGCUGAUCCUACUAAUCUACUCGACUUCAAGUUUGUGCUC